GCAGCAAACCACGCGGCGAACGAACACGUUGUCCCCCCCCCUUCCGGGGGCCUCGGCCGCGGGGGCUAAACCCCGUCGGGUCCGUCGUCGCCGUGUCGGAAUACCGAAUGAUACCGAAUCACUUCGACCAAAUGACUUAGUCCCAUUUUGGACCCCUUAACUUCUAGUUAGGGGGCGAGAAAACGAGAAACAAAGAUGAACACAACUCUCAGCAACGGAUAUCUUGGCUCCUGCAACGAUGAAGAACGCAGCGAAAUGCGAUACCUAGUGUGAAUUGCAGAAUUCCGCGAAUCAUUGAGUCUUUGAACGCAAGUUGCGCCCGAGGCUCGACCGAGGGCAUUUCCGUUAGAGCGUCACCGCGCGCCCCCACCGAGCUCCCCAACCAAGGGAGGAGGAGUUCGAGUGCAAUUGGCCGUCCCGAUUUGUUACCCUUUGUUGUGGAAUCGGAAUCGGGUCGGCCGAAGUACCUUGGCAGACUCCGUGGCGACACGGCCCACGAUCGGGUGAUCCGAGCCCUUCUAAAGGGGCUCGGAAUUUUUCUAAGUGUGAGGCCGCGCCGCCCCGUGUGUCCCGAAGGAGGAAAGUGUUACAUGUUAAGUGUUACAUUGAAGUGAGCAGUGAAGUGUUACCAGAGUUACGCACCAGACCUCUAAUCGUUCAAGUCGGCCCGUAUUGGA
rnacentral:rRNA from 1 species